GUCCAGGACCCCAUCCUCUGACUCGCUCAGGAGGGUCCCAAUGCGGCAAGUGUCCCCCUAAGGAUACCUCCCUGACACCUUUGGACAGUGCCCAGAGGAAAGUCAGCCUAUGGCUUGGGCUGAACCUGCAGAACACAGGUGGCAGAGGACAAGCCCAGGAGGAUCAGCAUCAAGGUACAUUUUGGACAGAUGAAGAAAUUGAAGCUGAAAUAUGUAAAGGAACUUGACAACUGUUUGAAGAUGAAAUCAGGAUCUGAACUCAGAUCUCUCCCAAGGCACUGCGCUGUUGUGAACAGUGAACUCAGCCCCAAAACCCCAUGUGAAGGAGGGUACAUUCUGCUAAUGAACCAGGGGUUCCAGUGCUGCACACAUUGCUGGAAGUGGAAAGACUGUGUCCCACAACUGGAUGAGUUGGGGAUGCUUAGUACUAUUUUCCAGAUGAGGAAGCCAUGACUUGCCUGAGGCCACAGAGCAGCUGGUGUAUCUUCUCCUGAAAAAUUCCACAGAUUCCCUGUGCUCAAAGUCCUGUUAAUCAGAAUACAAACUGCUUGACAGACACUUCCUGAAGGUACAUAUUCCCUGUCCCGGGCUCCUCAGCACAUCACCUGUUCACACGAAUCCCAAAUCACAGAGAAACCAGAUCAGAGCUAUGGGAAACAAGGGAGAAAAAUC
rnacentral:lncRNA from 10 species